ACAAAUCUGGAGCAGGCCCUAGGCCUGGGCUUUCUUAUACACCUUACACUUUGUGCAUAAACCCUACUGUCAUCUAGCGGUUAAAACCGAAAGGGUUGCAAGACCACCCGCAGUUAUUAAACACCAGUUUAAUGAUUAUGGACAUUCAAAAUUGUUUUAAAAUUAAA
rnacentral:misc_RNA from 1 species